rnacentral:rRNA from 1 species
AGAGUUGAUCCUGGCUCAGGAUGAACGCUAGCUACAGGCUUAACACAUGCAAGUCGAGGGGCAGCAUUGGAGUAGCAAUACUCAGAUGGCGACCGGCGCACGGGUGAGUAACACGUAUCCAACCUGCCGCUUACUCGGGGAUAGCCUUUCGAAAGAAAGAUUAAUACCCGAUGGUAUAAAGAGUUCGCAUGUUCUCUUUAUUAAAGAAUUUCGGUAAGCGAUGGGGAUGCGUUCCAUUAGAUAGUUGGCGGGGUAACGGCCCACCAAGUCUACGAUGGAUAGGGGUUCUGAGAGGAAGGUCCCCCACAUUGGAACUGAGACACGGUCCAAACUCCUACGGGAGGCAGCAGUGAGGAAUAUUGGUCAAUGGACGAGAGUCUGAACCAGCCAAGUAGCGUGAAGGAUGACUGCCCUAUGGGUUGUAACUUUCUUUUAUAAGGGAAUAAAGUGAGGGACGUGUCCCUUUUUGUAUGUACCUUAUGAAUAAGGAUCGGCUAACUCCGUGCCAGCAGCUGC